CGUUCAGCAUAAGCUUUUUGAAGAAUACGGAAUCGCGUUCUGGUGGAAGCACUUGUGAUGCGAUCAUUUGUGCCUAUAAAGCAUAUACAUUUUGAUUUUUUUUUUUUUUGAAAACGAUAGGUCGUUUCGCUAGAUAAGACCCUUAUUCCUCGUCUGGUAUCGUUUAAAGCCCUUUGAAGCUGCAAUAAAACUGUAAUUUUGACCUUCAACUGUUUGGAGACAAUUGAAGUCCAUUAUAAGGAGAAUGAUCCUGGAAUGUUUUCAUUAAAAACCUUAAUUUCUUUUCAACUGAAGAAAGAAGGACAUGGACAUCUUGGAUGACAUGGGGCUCCAGUUGAUUCAACAACACUGAUUCCAGUCGGCAGCUCAAACUCUGAGAAGAAAUCAAGCCGAACAGCAGCAGCUCCGACACAAGGUGCAUCUGAAAAAAAACUCUCUUAUACAGAUAAUCGGAUCAUUACCUCAAAC